rnacentral:rRNA from 1 species
CCUACUGUAGGCAGCAGUGGGGAAUAUUGGACAAUGGGCGAAAGCCUGAUCCAGCAAUGCCGCGUGAGUGAUGAAGGCCUUAGGGUUGUAAAGCUCUUUUACCAGGGAUGAUAAUGACAGUACCUGGAGAAUAAGCUCCGGCUAACUCCGUGCCAGCAGCCGCGGUAAUACGGAGGGAGCUAGCGUUGUUCGGAAUUACUGGGCGUAAAGAGUACGUAGGCGGUUAUUCAAGUCAGAGGUGAAAGCCCGGGGCUCAACCCCGGAACUGCCUUUGAAACUAGAUAGCUAGAAUCUUGGAGAGGUCAGUGGAAUUCCGAGUGUAGAGGUGAAAUUCGUAGAUAUUCGGAAGAACACCAGUGGCGAAGGCGACUGACUGGACAAGUAUUGACGCUGAGGUACGAAAGCGUGGGGAGCAAACAGGAUUAGAUACCCUGGUAGUCCACGCCGUAAACGAUGAUAACUAGUUGUUCGGGCACUUGGUGCCUGAGUGACGCAGCUAACGCAUUAAGUUAUCCGCCUGGGGAGUACGGUCGCAAGNUUAAAACUCAAAUGAAUUGACGG